rnacentral:lncRNA from 1 species
AUUUUUCUCAAUUGAAAUUUCAUAAAUAAAAAAGAAAAUUUCUUCAAACAUUUUUUUGAGAGGAUUAAUAUUCAACAGCAUAGUGAAUUGCUCUAAGAGAAACAAAAAUUUUAAGUUCAUUAGAACACAUUCAUUCUGUGUCAGAAACCUAUGCUGUGUCAACUAUUUAAUCACAAUCCAAAUUUGGAGCUGAAUCCAGCUUGAAUGUUGUGUCCAUACUUGCCCUAACCGUUCAGGGUUCAACCUCUGCGGUCGUAUAAAGCUACGCCCUGUGGAGCAUCUGGUUAUAAUUUUGACUUUUGAAU